UAUUGCUCUUGAACGAGGAAUCCCUAGUAAGUGUGAGUCAUCAGCUCAUGCUAAUUACAUCUCUGCCCUUUGUACACACUGCUCAUCGCUACUACCGAUUGAAUAGCUUAGUGAGACCCUCGGAUCGACUUAUAGAAGCCUUAACCAGCAUCCGUUUGUUGAGAAGUUGGUCAAACCUGGUCAUUUAGAGGAAGUAAAAGUUGUAACAAGGUUUCCGUAGGUGAACCUGUGGAAGGAUCAUUAAAAAAUAUGGGGUAUUUAUACCUCUUGUAUUUAAAACCAACUCUUUAAUAAACAUUUUUUAAAUAAAAAAUAAAAACUUUCAACAAUGGAUCUCUUGGCUCUCGCAUUGAUAAAGAACGCAGCAAAAUGCAAAAAGUAAUAUGAAUUGCAGAAUUUUGUGAAUCAUCAAAUCUUUGAAUACAAAUUGCACUCCUUGGUAUUCUGAGGAGUACACUUGCUUGAGGGUCAGUUAAAUAAAUAUAUCGUAACAUCUUUUGGUAUUGCAGAUCUGGGUUAUCUGGUUUUAAGUCGGUUUACCUAAAAUUAUUAAUUAUUGUAAUGUGAUAUGUACUAAGAGAGUCGUUAAUCAUUAAAACUUAAUAUAUAUAUAUUACCUCUAAUUCUUUUUUAUUGGUAAAGUAUAUAAUUUUUGAGAAUAACCUCAAGUCAAGUGAGAGUACCUGCUGAACUUAAGCAUAUCAAUAAGUGGAGGAAAAGAAACUAACAAGAAUUCCCCUAGUAACGGUGAGCAAAGCAGGAAGAGCACAAAUUUUAAAUCUAUCUGGUUUUCCGGGUCGAGUUGUAAUUUGGAGAAAUGUUUUUAAUGUUUCAGGUUGGUUUAAAUCCUUUGGGAUAAGGUAUCAUAGAGGGUAAGAAUCCCGUAUAUAUCAACUACUAGGAUGUUAUAAAUUAUUCUCUAAGAGUUGAGUUGUAUGGGAAUACAGCUCUAAAUGGGUGGUAAAUUUUACCUAAUGCUAAAUAUAAGCAAGAGACCGAUAGCGAACAAGUACCGUAAGGGAAAGAUGAAAAGAACUUUGAAAAGAGAGUUAAAUAGUAUGUAAAAUUGUUGAAAGGGAAACGAUUGAAGUCAGUCAUGCAAGUGAGAAUCAACUUGGAAUAACUUCCAAAGUACAUUUCUUUGCUUGCCAGGUUAGCGUCGAUUUUGAAUGUCAUAAAAUGAUUGAGAGAAAGUAGCUCUUUCGGGAGUAUUAUAACCCUUGGUUAAUAUGAUGUUUGGGAUCAAGGAUUGCAACGAAUACCUUUUAGACUAGCCGCCUGGCCUCUGAUUCGAUUUCAGGUUAUAGACAGCAUGCUGACUAUGAUUUGAUUAUUGGUUAAAAGGUUAGAGUGAGCAUAAAUUCAUUAAGGACGCUGAUGUAAUGGCUUUAAAUGAUCUAUCUUGAAACACAGACCAAGAAGUCUAACAUGUAUGCGAGUGUU
rnacentral:rRNA from 1 species